ACUAUUUGCCAAAUCGUUGAAUGCUCAGAUUUUUUGUUUGGGUAUUAUGAUUCUUGCUCUAGUAUAGGAAGAUCUGAUGC
rfam:Jatropha curcas cultivar GZQX0401 scaffold221_31, whole genome shotgun sequence.